GGUGACCUGGGCCUUUCUACAUCAAUCAUUAAUCAAGAAAAUGACACAGAUUUAUUUGUCGGCAAUUCUGAUGGAUUUUUUUUCUCCCAGUUGUGAUUCCCUUUUCUCAAAGGACAUGAGCUUUUGGUAAUUUGCAAAAACAAACAAACAAACAAAUAAACAAACCAAAAUCUUAACUGACAUAAUGAAUCAUUUCUGUCAUUUGCCAUUUCUCCUCUUCGUGGUGUCUGUUCUGAAGUCUGAGUCAUGGAAAUUAAAACUAUCAUGCGAUUAUUUAAUUAACCGUAGUUACCACUGUGAAGAAUUAUGCCCUACAGUGUAUUCAUUUUAUUUAAAUUACUUAUUAUAAUUCUAGAAUUUUUCAAAGGAAAGACUUAUGCCCCUUUAAAAACUCGCCCUUUUAAACUUCUGAUUGCAUAUAUUUUGGAGAGUUCUACUUGAAUGCAUGCUUUUCUGGCCCCAGAUUUGUUCAAUUUGUUUUCUUCAAUGCACAAUUUCCUUUAUCUCUGUCACCUACAUGGUAUGAAUCCUUCUAUGUUCUUAAGACUAUUUAUGCCCACAUGUUUAAUUAUUUGAAUGGUGCUUUAUAUGGGAACAUAAUUCAUGUAAGUGAGCUUUGUGUAAAGAAUUUUUAAACAUUUAAGUAAAGGAGAUAGUACAUUCUUUUGGAUUAUUUAUUUAUCUAACAACUUUUGUUUCUGAGAUGUGAAUGCUUUAUGGGUAUGCUUGAAUUAUCAAUAUUUUACUAUACAAAUGUACAAAUGUAAAACACAAUGCACAUACAAGUUAUAAGGGUGACAAUUAAAGACAAUAAUAGAAUAGAACCUAUUACUCAGUAUUUCUAUCACUGUUAAUCUUGGAACAUAAUAGUUAUUGAAUUACAUAGAACAGUUUUAUGAAUCAUUCAUAUGUUUUAUAAGAUUAUAAGAUAUUUGAGGUCAUUGUUUAUCAGAAAUAUUAACAGUAUUCAGAAGUACAGUAUGUUUCUUACAAUUCUAUCCACCUUAUCUAGAUAUUUUUCCUUAAUCCAUCUAUUUGACUAUCUUGUUGGAAUAAAGUUGCAAACACCUAGUUCAGAAACAUCAGCUUACACCUUGCCUUAGUUUGUUUUCCCAUAGCCAAAAUAAAGUACUCUGACAACAGAGACUAAAGGUAGAAGGAUUUAAGUACAUUUAGUUUAUAGGUACAUUUCAUCUUCCCAGAGAAGUCAAGACAAUAAGAGCUUUAGUAACAAUCACGAUUCAUUUUGUAGAUAGCUGAUUUUGUGUUUUCUGCACCAUUGCACAUUUGUGUAUAGAUCAGGAAGUAAAAACAGCUAUAAAUCAGAUGUGCAAAUUAUUAUUAAUUAAUAUGCCACUCCUUUCUUCUGGAGACAUUAAUGUUGUGUGCCAGUGAUGUAGACUGAUACUUACAAGUUGUAAUCUUAGGAUGGAAAAGAUUGAACUGUUUAUAUAUUCUUUGGCAUAAAUCAAUUUCUUAAUAAGUAGUAAGGAAGUGACAGUUUAAAAACCAGUAAUAUUUUUUGUGUGUGGUGUUGACUCUUGUGUAUGAUAGGAAAUUUUUCUGCCACAGGUUUAUACCUACAACCCCAAAUGUUUAAUGUCUAAUGUAAAUUUCCUUAGAGGAAAGAACUUAGUGAAGAUACAUCUCUGAACUUUUAAACCCUGUAAAUGUGACCUCUUUCUGAAAAAGAGUCCUCACUAAUGGAUUUAUGUAAAGGAUGUUUAGCAGGAUCACACCAGAUUAUCCAGUGAGUUAUAAAUUGCAUGAUAGUGUCCAUCAUGAAGACACACAUUGGCAAGACAACAUCAGAACAAUGAAGUGAACACCAAGGGGAAGCACCCAAUGGCAAGGCAGCAGAAGAAAUGAGGUGAAGACCAAUAGGAGACUGGAGUGAUGUAGUGACCAAGAACACUGAACCCACUAAAACCCAAACAGAGCGAGGAGGAGUUCUGUCCCGGAGCCUGUGGCUCAGUUAGUGACUGCUUGUAAAUCUCAGAUCCUAUAAAUGUCAAGAGAACAAUCUCUAUUGUUUCCAUGGUAUAGUUGUAACUUUCAAUAUUACAUUAAUUUUCCACUCAAUAUCCUAAACUUUUAAGGCUGAAUUUCUGAGUCAAGUAUAUCCUACUUCCUAAAGCAAAAUGAAUAUAGUUAUAAAAUUGACAGGUUCAAAAAGAAGGCACAAUACCAUAGUAGGACAUCCUGGUUGUAUCAAGGCAGGGUGGUGUCUAGGUGAUGAGAUUGCAGGAGCUAGCCGAUAAGGCAUUCCAAAGACAAGUUACCUUAGCCAUCUAGAAUUCUGUUCCACUUGGUCAACUUCAGCUUUUCAGUUAAAUCCCAGAAGAUUCAUGCCAGGAAAUGAAUACAAAAUUUAUACUGGCCUUGUUUUAGUGUUGGGAAGGUUUUUUUUUGUUUCU
rnacentral:lncRNA from 1 species